ACAGGUGCCCGCCACCAAGCCUGGCAAUUUUUUGUAUUUUUAGUGGAGACACGGUUUCACCAUGUUGGCCAGGCUGGUCUCAAACUCCUGACCUCAGGUGAUUGUGAUCCACCCACCUCGACCUCCCGAAGUGCUGGGUUUACAGGCAUGAGCCACCGCACCCGGCCAACCACUAAGAUUUUUUUUGAGGGUCAUUUGUUACGUAGCCAAUCAUAGAAGAUACUAAAAGAAUGUUGCUGAUUAAAUAAAAAACUAAAAUAGGUACAUUGGCUUAGAGGCUGGGAGGGGCAAGGAGGAUGCUGUCGACCAAAGCAUUGUUGUUGACCAAAAUUGAAAAUGGUCCCUUUUAUGAAGAGGCAAAUAUUUGACAAAGUUGCCACUGACAGGAGACAGACCUAACUUGGAACUUAUCACUCCAAGAGAAGUUGCUGAAAACACAAGGUUUUGUGGAUUCCCAGUAAGCCAUCUUACUCCCGGGCCUUGUCCAUCUGAGCAACCCCCAUCUGAAGCAUCACUGGUCUCUGCGUCAGAGGAUGAGAGCACGGUUUGGAUCACCCACGGACUUGUAAAUGUACACCCAGAAGUGUCAAGCGUAAUCUAGCCUGUCCUGGAAGAUACCUCAAGAAUCUGUUUACAAGCCACACCUCUCUCUAAGAGCCAGAGAAGUGUAAUCCUCCCAGGCGCCCCCACCAGCCAACGCUAAAGACUACCACACUCCUGUGAAUCUUUUGUUACUAGGAAAGAAUAGCUGACAAAAGACCCAGUAAAAUUGCCCUUGGGCCAUCUUGGCUUAACUAGGUCCCUUGACCACUAUAUUAUUUUCCUACAGUAACAAAUUACCAGAAACUUGGUUAGGUAAACGGCAGAAAUUUAAUUAUCUCACAGAUUUGGAGGCUAGAAAUCUGAAAUGUUCAGCAGCGCCUUGUUACUUUUGAAGGCUCUAGGGAAGAAUCCUUCCUUGCCUUUUUCUAGAUUCUGCUGGCUCCCAGCAAUCCUUGGUAUUGCUUGGCUUAUAGCAGCAUCAUUUCACACUCUGCCCCAUCAUCACAUGGCCUUCCUUUCUGUGGGUCUCUAUGUCUUCAAAUCUCCCUCCUCUUGAAGGACAUUGGUUGUAGAAUUUAGUGCCCUCCCUAAUCCAACAUGACUCAUCUCAACUUGAUUACAUCUGCAAAACCCCUAUUUUCAAAGAAGGUCACUUUCUGAUAUGAACGUUUAGGGAACACUAUUCAACCCAGUAUACCCACCCAGAACUAACGGGAACUGACAAAUGAGAAAGAAAUAAAAGGAAGUGACCAUAUACUGGCUUAGAUCAAUGGUUUCCACACUAAGUGUGUAUCAGAGUAACCAUGAACACAGACACACAAAUACACACGACUUGGCCAAUCGAUCCAAUUUCUAGAGGUAGGCAUCUGUAGUUUUUAAAAGCUCCUCUCCACCCCAGGUGACUCUACUAUUGUGCAGCCAGGGCUCAGCCCAUGGGCUUAGGCUCAAUGGUUCUUGAUCUUGCUACGCAGGGGAUUACUACAUUAUUGGGAAAAUUGGUGAAAUUUAAGCAACAUGGAUAAUAUAAUACUGUAUCAAUGUUGACUUUAUGGUUUUGAUUAUUGUACUGUGGAUAUUUAAAUGAACGUUCUUGUCAUUAGGAGCAAAUUCAAGUAGUUAGGGGUAAAGGGGCAACUGACUCCAAAUGAGUCUGAAAAAUAUACACAGAGAGAGAGAGAGAAUAAAAUGUGGCUCCCUGGACUAUCUGUGUUACGCAGGACUUUCUCUUACAAGUACAGUCACACACCACAUAACAAUGUUUUGGUCAACAACAGACUGCAUAUAUGACAUUGGUCCUGUAAGAUUAUAAUGGAGCUGAAAAAUUCCUAUCACCGCAUGACAUCAUUGGUGUCGUAAAGUCAUAGCCCAACAUAUUACUCACUUGUUUCUGGCGAUCUGGUCAACAAACUACUGUGAUCAGAUCCAUAGAGCCCAGGUUAAUAAAAACACAAAACUUCUGCACUACCAGUUGUAUAAAAGUGUAACAUAUACAAUUAUGUACAGUAGUG
rnacentral:lncRNA from 10 species